UAAAUAUACUUUAUUAAAGAAUAAAGAAUGACCGAAAAAAAAAAGAAAAAAAGAAAAGAAAAAUAACAAUCCAAAACCCCUUCUUGAAUAAACCCUCGUGUUUCCCUUCACUCGCUCUUCAAGCCUGCUCACUCAUCGAGUUUUUCUGUUCUGUGAAUUGAUUUUCUGGAGAAAAUGAACUUGGGGAACUCCAAAAACGCAAAAAUUUCCUCACCACCCAAACACAAUCCCCUCGAACUCAGCCUCCAACAAGCCUUCACCAACAUCCAAAAUCAUUGCUCUGGUUUCCUGCACCACCUCUCUCACUUUCCUGUCUUCAACCCCAACCCCUCUUCCCUCAAAACCCAACUCGAGUCCACCUUCGCCAACCUCCAAAACCAAGCAAAGCAUGCAUUCAAUACUGGGUUGUCAAGCUCUGUUCCCAAACAUUCUUCUGGGAAAACCCCAGUUUGGGCCCGAAUUGCGGUAAAUAACAAAACCCAGACCACCAAUUCUCCUGGUAAUGGGUCAAAAGCCGCCAUGUCUACCGAGGCAAUCGAAGAGCGGCUUGCUGGAGUGCCUGUUUAUGCUCUCAGUAAUGCCGCUGAGGAAUUCGUGUUGGUUUCGGGUGCUUCAAGUGGAAAGUCUCUUGGAUUGUUUUGUUUCAAGAAAGAGGAUGCAGAGGCACUUCUUGAGCAUAUCAGAAUUAUGGACCCCGGAAUGCGAAGCGGGUCUAAAGUGGUGGCCGUGGCUUUAAAUAAGGUUUUUCAGCUCAAGGUUGAUGGGGUAGCCUUCAGGUUGAUUCCUGAGUAUUCUCAAGUCAAGAACGCGCUUAAGGAGAAGGAAAAGGUUGGAACUUCUGAUGAUGAUGGCUUUCCCGGGGUGCCAGUUUUCCAGUCAAGGAGCUUGAUUCUUAGAAGCCAAAGCAAGAGCUAUCGUCCAGUGUUUUUCAGGAAGGAGGACUUGGAAAGUUCACUAUCAAGAGCUUCUCGCGAGCAGAAUCAAUUAAAUCCUGCCUUCAGACCUGGGGAUGUUCAGGUUGCUGUUCUUGAAGAAGUAAUAAAGGGGAUGAAGGAAGGUUCUACAUCAACGUGGGACGAUGUUGUUUUCAUCCCUCCUGGAUUUGAUAUCUCUACUGAUCCUACCAAGCAAUAGGAUAAUGCAAAGAGCAGGCAAUGGCGUUUUCGACAAGAAUAUUAGUCUAAUGCAAAACUUACAUAUGAUGAAUUUACUCUAGUAGGGAUUCGAUUUUGUGAUUGUAGCUGUGCGGAAAUCCUCUUCGGCAGUUUUCAAGCCCAUUUGUGUAGUCAGGCAUAUGAGUAUUGGAGGGCCCAAAUCCUACUUGAGGAUAAAGUUAUAUAUUAGUUCUUUUUUUAACA